UGUGGCUCAGUGGUAAAGUGCUUGCCUAGCAAGCAUGAAGCCCUGGGUUCGAUUCCCCAGUA
rnacentral:tRNA from 1 species